rnacentral:rRNA from 1 species
UACGUAGGGUCCGAGCGUUGUCCGGAAUUACUGGGCGUAAAGAGCUCGUAGGUGGUUUGUCGCGUUGUUCGUGAAAACUCACAGCUCAACUGUGGGCGUGCGGGCGAUACGGGCAGACUUGAGUACUGCAGGGGAGACUGGAAUUCCUGGUGUAGCGGUGGAAUGCGCAGAUAUCAGGAGGAACACCAGUAGCGAAGGCGACACUCUGGGCCGGUACUGACGCUGAGGAGCGAAAGCGUGGGGAGCAAACA